UUUUGUUGUUGUUGUUAAGACAUUGCUGUUUAUUACAACUUACAAAGCGUUGAAGUUGAAUAUUUCUUCUCUUCCAAAUUAGUCGAUAUUACUCUCGAUCCAUCCACAAACAACUAUCAUAUUCCUUAUUUUCCCUAAUUCAUCGGAUGCACACUUUUUUUUUUCUCUCUAUAAUGAUGUGUGCGUGUGUUUUGGUAUUUGAAAAAAAAAAAAAAAAGAGGCUAAUUAACAUAUUAUAAUUCCGAAUCAUAUUUGGUCGUACAUAUUCUCAUUAUUUUAACUUAUUUGUUUUGUUCAAUUGGAUUGGCUGUUGACCUUUCAAGAUUUCAGAGUUGCGUGCUUGUUUUUCCGAUGGUUUGAAACAAUAUAUG
rnacentral:lncRNA from 1 species